AGCUGCUUGGCGCAGCGGAAGCGCGCCGGGCUCAUAGUCGUCGAAAGACUCAUCUAAGUGCACCCGGAGGUCUCAAGAUCGAAACUUGAAGCAGCUA